rnacentral:rRNA from 1 species
AUUGAACGCUGGCGGCAUGCUUUACACAUGCAAGUCGAACGGCAGCGCGGGCUUCGGCCUGGCGGCGAGUGGCGAACGGGUGAGUAAUACAUCGGAACGUGCCCAGUAGUGGGGGAUAGCUCGGCGAAAGCCGGAUUAAUACCGCAUACGACCUGAGGGUGAAAGCGGGGGAUCUUCGGACCUCGCGCUAUUGGAGCGGCCGAUGGCAGAUUAGCUAGUUGGUGGGGUAAAGGCCUACCAAGGCGACGAUCUGUAGCUGGUCUGAGAGGACGACCAGCCACACUGGGACUGAGACACGGCCCAGACUCCUACGGGAGGCAGCAGUGGGGAAUUUUGGACAAUGGGCGAAAGCCUGAUCCAGCAAUGCCGCGUGUGUGAUGAAGGCCUACGGGUUGUAAAGCACUUUUGGCGGGAACGAAAAGGACUGUGCCAAUACCACGGUUCGAUGACGGUACCCGCAGAAUAAGCACCGGCUAACUACGUG